UACGUAGGCAGCGAGCGUUGUUCGGAGUUACUGGGCGUAAAGGGUGUGUAGGCGGUUCCUUAAGUUUGGUGUGAAAUCUCCCGGCUCAACCGGGAGGGUGCGCCGAAUACUGAGGGACUAGAGUGCGGGAGAGGAAAGUGGAAUUCCUGGUGUAGCGGUGAAAUGCGUAGAUAUCAGGAGGAACACCGGUGGUGUAGACGGCUUUCUGGACCGUAACUGACGCUGAGACACGAAAGCGUGGGUAGCAAACAGG
rnacentral:rRNA from 1 species